CCUACGGGUGGCAGCAGUAGGGAAUUUUGCUCAAUGGGGGAAACCCUGAAGCAGCAACGCCGCGUGGAGGAUGAAGGUUUUCGGAUUGUAAAACCCUUUUGUUAGAGAAGAUAAUGACGGUAUCUAACUAAUCAGCCCCGGCUAAAUUCGUGCCAGCAGCCGCGGUAAUACGGAGGGGGCAAGCGUUACUCGGAAUCACUGGGCGUAACGAGCGCGUAGGCGGGUUAGCAAGUCAGAUGUGAAAUCCUAUGGCUGAACCAGAGAGGUGCAUUUGAAACUGUUAUUCUAGAGUAUGGGAGAGGAAGGUGGAAGUCUGGGUGUAGGGGUAAAAUCCGUAGAGAUCAAGAGGAAUACUCAUGGCGAAGGCGACCUGCUAGAACAUAACUGACGCUGAGGCGCGAAAGCGUGGGGAGCAAACAGGAUUAGAUACCCCUGUAGUC
rnacentral:rRNA from 1 species